rnacentral:rRNA from 1 species
GGUCAGAACGAACGCUGGCGGCGCGUUUAAGCAUGCAAGUCGAGCGGCAAGGGCCUUCGGGCCCCUAGAGCGGCGGACGGGUGAGUAACACGUGGACAAUCUGCCCCCCGGCCGGGAUAGCCCCAGGGAAACCUGGAUUAAUACCGGAUGAGACGGGACCCGCGAUGGCGGGAUCCGGGAAAGGCGCUGCGGCGCCGCCGGGGGAUGAGUCUGCGUCCCAUUAGCUAGACGGCGGGGUAACGGCCCACCGUGGCGACGAUGGGUAGCCGGCCUGAGAGGGUGACGGCCACAUUGGAACUGAGACACGGUCCAGACUCCUACGGGAGGCAGCAGCUAAGAAUCUUCCGCAAUGGGCGAAAGCCUGACGGAGCGACGCCCGCGUGAACGAAGAAGGCCGUGAGGUUGUAAAGUUCUUUUCGGGAGGGGGAACAACCGUGGCAGGGAAUGGCCGCGGGAUGACGUGAAUCCCGGAAUAAGCCCCGGCUAACUACGUGCCAGCAGCUGC